AAUUAGAUACCCAGGUAGUCCACGCCGUAAACGAUGUCGACUUGGAGGUUGUUCCCUUGAGGAGUGGCUUCCGGAGCUAACGCGUUAAGUCGACCGCCUGGGGAGUACGGCCGCAAGGUUAAAACUCAAAUGAAUUGACGGGGGCCCGCACAAGCGGUGGAGCAUGUGGUUUAAUUCGAUGCAACGCGAAGAACCUUACCUACUCUUGACAUCCAGAGAACUUAGCAGAGAUGCUUUGGUGCCUUCGGGAACUCUGAGACAGGUGCUGCAUGGCUGUCGUCAGCUCGUGUUGUGAAAUGUUGGGUUAAGUCCCGCAACGAGCGCAACCCUUAUCCUUUGUUGCCAGCGGUCCGGCCGGGAACUCAAAGGAGACUGCCAGUGAUAAACUGGAGGAAGGUGGGGAUGGACGUCAAGUCAUCAUGGCCCCUACGAGUAGGGCUACACACGUGCUACAAUGGCGCAUACAAAGAGAAGCGACCUCGCGAGAGCAAGCGGACCUCAUAAAGUGCGUCGUAGUCCGGAUUGGAGU
rnacentral:rRNA from 1 species